UUCCAGGAUGUUCUGAGGAAUACUGUGGGAAGACUGGUAUAGAUUGGGGGUUGGAUGCUAUCUACUGUUUCUUUUCCCUAGUUUUCCAGGAUGUCCAGAAAAGUCAGUGGGAACACCAGUGUGGAUGAAGCGUUGGGAUGGAGGUUGACGCUCUGUCCUGUGUUCAUUUCUGUAGUUUUCCAGGAUGUCCUGAGGCUGCCAGUGGGAAGAUGGUAUGGAUGAGGAGUUGGGAUAGAGGCUGGCCAGGGGCAGAUAGUGGGAAGACGGGUAUGGCUGGGAGUUGGGAUGGAGGUGAGAAAGUUGACCUUGUUCCUCUGUUGCCUCCACAAGCAGAUGUAGCUCCCUCCUUGAACUGUU